UUCAGAAAAGAUUGUGAGGUUUGUCAUGCCUUUAAGAGAGUAAGCCUUUUUCUAUAUCUUAUCCUAUACAGUAUCUAGCACAAUGUGUUGUACACAGUAACCCUUUGAAAACAGUUUUGUACUCACUCAAAAAACAUUUCUUUAUGGAGGAUCAAAGUUCAUGAUCAAAUGAACUGAACUACUUGUUCUUGGCAGGGAACAGCUCCCUCAGAGGCCCAACCAGGAUGAGGCAGAGCCUUUCAAGAGAGAUAAAGGAAAACAGCCAGCCCCCGUGGGUUCACCUUUACAGCAUCUGAAACUAGGACAAGAGCCAAAUUUUCCAAAAUGCCAGAAGGGGUAACAAAGAAGUAACCAGUUGGAAGCUGAGGACUGGCAAAGUUCAAGACAAAAAUGCAGCAAUAUUGCUACCAUGGAGCAGGUGAGGCUAGAACGCAACACGAAGAGCAGAAUGAUGAAAAGAAUCUGGUGUCUUCAUGAUUUUGUACCACCAUUGCCACAGGGCUGACUGCUUACUCCAGCCUUCAUGAUACAUGAAAGAAAACUGAACCCUGUCUUGUUUAAACAACUAUUAUUUGGGUUUUCUUUUACAUGCCAUCAGAAUAAACCUUAACUGAAUUUCAGAGUUGCAGAACAGACUGGAAAAUCUAAAAAAAUAGAUUAAAAUAUUACAAUAUUUGGUUAAGAAGAUAUGUGAUAAAAAUGAUAAUAGUGACAUUUAAAACCAGUCAAGAAAAGAUAGACAAUUCAAUAAAUGUUAUUGGGAAAUGGGAUGGGAUAACUACUUAAGAAAAAAUGGGAUACCUACUUCACAUGUUAAACCUAAAUUUCCUAUGGAUCAGAUUUAUAUGUAAAAAAUUAAAAUCACAAUAGUGCAAGAAGAAAUAAAAAACUUUUUUAAAUCUCAGAGGAAAGAUCUUUCUCAACACAAAAGGUAAAAGGCAUAACACAAAAUUGGAUUUUAUGUAAAUUUAGUCACAUAAAAAUAAAGAAAUUCAUAUGCAUGGCAAAAAUGCAUAAGCAGAAUCAAAAGAAAACUAACGAACUGAGAAAAUAUUUGCAACUCAUAUCACAGCAAAAGAAUAUUUUUUUGAUACACAAAGAUCUCUACAACCAAAAAAUAAAAGACCAUUGAUGCAGGAGAAGAUUAGAGAGUGUAAACAAAUGGACCACUGAAAAAAAGCAAAUGAAUCUUAAGCAUAUGAAAAGAUGCUUAAUGUCACUCAGGGCAAUACAAAUUAAGAUUAAAUGGCAUAGCCUCUUAACUCAUCAGAUGAGGAGAAACAGGACUUUACUCUCAUACAUUGAUUGUGAGAAUAUCAAUUGCUUCAAACACAAGUUGAAAAAAUUUAGCAAUAUCUUUUGAAAUUAAAAAUGCACAUACAGGAGUUUCCAUUGUGGUAGAGCAGAAAUGAAUCUGACUCGUACCCACGAGGAUGUGGGUUUGAUCCCUAGCCUUGCUCAGUAGGUCAGGGAUCCAGCAUUGCUGUGAGCUGUGGUGCAGACGGCAGACACGGCUUGGAUCCCUUGUUGCUGUGGCAGCUGUAGCUCUGAUUUGACCCUUAGCCUAGGAGCUUCCAUAUGCCAUGGGUGUAGCCCUAAAAGUAAAAUAAAAUAAAAUAAACCUGCACAUAACUUUUGACUUAUGGAUUCAAUCUUGAGUUACUUAUCCCCAAACAUGCCCCAAUAUGUGUGAAAGGAUUUAUCCAUUCAUUCAACAAAUGAGUGCCUACUCUAUUGAAAGCUCUCUUCUGGGCACUCUGUAUACAAGGAUGGUCACUAGAAAGGAGAUUAGAAACAACAUAAGUAUCCAUGAAUAAAGUCCUGGUAAAAUAAAUUAUGGCACAUCCAUACAAGGAUAGAUUAUGAAACUAUUACAAAGAAACAGGAAAAAUGUGAUAUGGAAAGAUAUUUUGAAAUAUAAGCUUCCUGAAGGCAUUGGAUUUUUGUUUUGCUUACUAUUGUAUUCCUAACACAUAAAACAAUGUAUAGUAUAUAUUAGACUUGCAAUAAAUAUUUGAUGAGCUAAGAAAGUGAGAAAAAGCAAGGUAAAGAAUGGCAUCCUACAAUUAUAUGUGGGGAAAUAUGAAUAUAAAUAUAUAUGAAUAUAAAUACACAUUUCUAAAUUCACGGACCAUCUUUAGGUGCAUAAGAAACUGGUAACAUGGAUUGCCUCCGAAGAGUAUACCAGGGGAUGGGGGGCCAGGGAGGAAAUUGGACUGCCUUCAUACUGUACAACCUCUUUUCUACAUUUUGAAUGCCGUGCCAUGUGUAUUAAUUAUCUCUUCAGGAAAGAAGCACACAUGUUCACCACAUAUGUAUCUCUUCACAUUCUUUUGCACUUCCCCAAAGGUACUGGCUCAAGUAGGAAUUAGCACACUUUGGUGGUUUCUGAGGCAAUUCCAGCCAAAUGCCAGGCAUUUUUCAUAAAUGUAUUCCUCUUGCUAACAUUUAAUGUAGGCAGAUCUGUCAACUCUGCACAUACUCACAAACAAUUCAGUUGAGAUGGCAAGGCCUGAAGUACUCAACCCCAAAUACAAAGAUGUGUGUGGAUCUUCCAGGGUCUUGUGAGAAGACAAUAAGCUUCAAGGCCACGCAAACAUUGCAGCAGGUGUUAUUUGUCUGUUCAGCUCUGCUCAGAAGCCUUUCCUGAGGCCUCAUCCUGCUCUCACCUCCCGACACACACCCUCUUACUGUGGAUCGACAUUCCACAGCUAUCUGCCCAAAGUGCCCUGUGAUUAUAUCUCUCAAAGCUCUAACUCAGGACAUAGAACUUUCUUAUAUUUUUGUCUGUCUACCACACUAAACUGAGAACCAACUCUUCUGGCAUCUAGCACACUGCCCACUUUAGUAACUCCUCAACAAAUGUAUGACAAAUUAAUAUAUAUUGUGAUGAAGCAUGAUAAUGUGAGAAAAAAGAAUUGUGAAACUGUAUUGUGAAUGGGUCACUUUGCUGUACAGUAGAAAAUUGACAGAACACUGUAAACCAGCUCUAAUGGAAAAAAAAAAUAAAAAUCAUUAACAAAAAAGAAAAAAA
rnacentral:lncRNA from 1 species